GACGAACGCUGGCGGCGUGCUUAACACAUGCAAGUCGAGCGGAGCGGCGAACGGGUGUGUAACUCGUGAGUAACUGCCCCCCUCCCUGGGAUAACAGUUGGAUACGGCUGCUAAUACCGGAUAGUGGGGGAUGACUCGCGUCCUAUCGGCGUGUUGGUGUGGUAGUGGCCUACCAAGGCGACGACGGGUAGCCGGCCUGAGAGGGCGACCGGCCACAGUGGGCUGGGAUAGGAACCAAAAUCGUACGGGAGGCAGCAGUGGGGAAUAGUGCACAAUGGUGGAAACCCUGAUGCAGAAACGCCGCGUGCGGGAUGACGGCCUUCGGGUUGUAAACCGCUUUCAGCCAUGACGCGGUAGUGGCAGAAGAAGCACCGGCUAACUACGUGCCAGCAGCCGCGGUAAUAC
rnacentral:rRNA from 1 species